GUGCUCACUUUGGCAGCACAUAUACGUGAAACUGGAAUAAUACAGAGUAGAUUAGCGUACCGCACACAAGGAUGACAUAAAUUCGUGAAGCAUUCCAUGUUUUU